UACGUAGGGUGCGAGCGUUGUCCGGAAUUAUUGGGCGUAAAGGGCUCGUAGGCGGUUUGUCGCGUCGGGAGUGAAAUCCACUGGCUUAACUGGUGGCUUGCUUUCGAUACGGGCAGACUGGAGGUAUGCAGGGGAGAACGGAAUUCCUGGUGUAGCGGUGAAAUGCGCAGAUAUCAGGAGGAACACCAGUGGCGAAGGCGGCUUCCUGGCCUGUAACUGACGCUGAGACGCGAAAGCGUGGGGAGCGAACCGG
rnacentral:rRNA from 1 species